CUGCGGACCAAUAAGUGGGUUGGAUGGGUGGGCAGCUGAAAGUUUCACGGUUCCCUCCCUUUAAAAAGUCUGAUUCAGGUUGCCGUUGUUUCACAUGCAGCUAAAGGAGCGGGACGUGAGAAGAGCCCAGUUUGCCGAUGCAGUGUACACUCACAGAGACUGGGAAGACAUCAUUGGCAGGUUUCCACAUAUGUGGAUGAAGCAGCACCGUGGCAAUCCAAAACUGAGGGCUGAUUACUCACCCAUUUUGGCUUGGCAUGUUUGGAUGUGUCAAAGAGUAAAGCUGAUAACUGUUGGAGAAGAAGAACAACACAGCAGAAGGCCAGAGAAACACACAGCCUAACAGAGGGAGUUCCUGAAGACGAAGUGAAGAAGGAAAAUUGUAAGAAAGAAGCAGAGGGGGAGUGGACAGACAUAUUGAAGGAAAGAGAGAAUCACUGGAAAUAUUCAGAGGGGUGAAGUAUAGGGAGUCUCGUAAAGGAGAGAGAAGACAGAAGAAAAACGUGGCCAAGCAUGAGAGAGGAGGAGCAGUCUAAUGAUGACCACCCUGAGGGAGGGCUGGUUUCCAGCGGGGAAAACACGGGACGACCAACUUCUAAUGCCUGUCCCGUCGUUGUUGCAACACCGGGGGUCACCGGGCAUAAAAGGCAGACAGGCUCACAUAAGGUGGAUCACGUUACCACAGUUACUCCCCCAACAUCAGCAGACGAUGGCAAGGUUAAGACAGGGGACGACAUCCAGAUCUACACACCGAUUGGAUCCAAAAGACUCAAGCGGAGUCCUCAACAUCGGCCGCCUUCCUCAGGACCGUCUCUGUCUCCUGUCCCUGAUACAAGUCCUGGAGAUCUCUCAGCACUUGAGGACCCACAUGGCCAGCGGGUGAUUGCUAACAUCCGGGAACGCCAGCGGACACAAUCUCUAAACGAAGCAUUCGCCUCGUUGCGUAAAAUAAUCCCAACACUCCCCUCUGACAAGCUGAGCAAGAUCCAGACACUUAAAUUGGCAUCACGAUACAUUGACUUUCUGUACCAGGUUCUGCAGAGCGAUGAUAUGGACGCUAAGCUGGCUGGGUGUAACUACCUGGCCCAUGAGAGACUGAGCUACGCCUUCUCUGUCUGGAGGAUGGAGGGGGCCUGGUCAACCAUGUCUGCUGGACACUAGCCCCCCCGAAAGAAAGAUCACAAUGGAGGACAGGUGAGGGACAAAAACAGCUGGACAUCAUUAUAUAUUCAUUCAAUUCAACAACCUGAUAGUGAAGGACGCCCUGUCCUAGAUGCCUCCACGUGACAGCAUGGCUCAUUCUGCUGGAGCCCUUUGACCCAUUGGCUUUCUCAAGUUCUGAAGCUUGACCUGUGGUUUCAUCCUCAUCAUCACCGUUGAUUUUAUCAUCAUAACUGCCAUCAGUAUCAACAUCAACAUUACUAUCGUCAUCAUCAUAGGAAUGCAUACUUUGAGCCACAACUUUAUUACAUAUUUUUAUUUAACUUUAUUUCUGCCUUAGGCUAGCAAGUCUACAAGGUUUUGUAUGAAGAGAAACAACUAGAGAAUGCAGCAGAAGGACUAAAAGAAUAUCUUUAAAGAGAGGUUGGACCUUUGACUUUUCCAUACCCCGUACUCAAUUCUUUAUUUUCCGAGACUCUGACAUAUUAUGAAUCCCUGACCACCUCUGAACCCAAGCAACGGUGGAAAAAGUAGCCGCGGGCAGCCGUCGUCCUGACUUGAGUUUCUCCUCUUUAUACCCAAACCAAGCCCCUUUGUUUCUUCUAGUGCCAAAAAAACUCUCCUCUUGAAAUUCUUUCCUCUCAUUCUGGCCCAAAUUUGCUUGCGUUGCACGAAACCGUGAUGCAGCUACAGCGAGCUGACGAGAAGGCGUAAUGAAAACAAACGGUCCCUAAAAGCCAUGAAUCAUGUGUGUCACCAUCAAAGGGGAGGCUGAUGUGGCUCCCCGCUGGGCUCCUAUAAACCACUGGAAGUGAUGGAGGAGCUGCUGAAUAAAGUGACCCAUGCUACCAUUUCUGCCAAUUUAAUCACAUGGACUUUGAUGCAAAAGGAACUUUUUAGGUUCCUCACUUUUGGAGAAAACAACUUUGAAGAAUAUUUAAAGGCAAGAUCAAGAUGCAGACUGACUUUUCUCUGAACCAACAAAUGUAUCAAGAAGAAAUUAACCGUACAGGUCAGGAUGGACCAGUAUUUGUGUUUCAUACUAUUUUUCCUGUAGUUAAAGCGAGACUUGGACAGUGAUUAGAGUGUUUGCCUGUUGUGCGCCAGUUUACAGACAGAGAGUGAGGCUUUGUCUUUUAAGGAGCAUUUACUUGAAGUAUACACAGUGUGGUUAUUACAAAAAAUAACUGACACUGAUGCAGUAUUACUGAUAUAAAUAUCAGUCUUGUGAUAUAAAUUUCACAAGCAGAAAAAUCCCUGCGGAGUUAGAUGUACUGAUACAUACCGCACAUGUAUCAUUAUUUGUCUGAAAAAUAAAACAGUCCUCUAACUAUU